CUUGUGGCGAAUGGCUCCAAGAAAGGAAAAAUGGAGUCAGGUCAGGUCAGCUUCCUGGAGGACUUCAGAGAGAUGCUUCCACACCACUUCAAGCACAGCAACAGAGUUCUAAGAUGGCUGCCACUAUGCUAUCCAAUACAUCUCUGUUCAAGGCAGAAUGGAUGGAUAAACAAGUGUCCAAAAUCAUUACCCUUACCUAACACUCAACUUGGAAGACUUUGGCUUAGCCAGAAAUGGGUCACAGCACCACACUUAACUGCAAAGGAUCCAGAGAGAGCUGUGGAGAGUAUGCUGGACUGACUGACUCGUGCCGUGACGUGGGCAUCGUCUUCUGCAGUUUUCCUUGGUUUCAGAAGCUGUUGCACUUGCUCUUGGGCUACUGCUUGAAGUUGCAAACAUCACAACUUGAGUUCCAUAUCAGCACAGAGGCCAAUUAGGGAAACAGGAUCCACAGGCAGGUAACAGAGUCAGGGACAGCCCCACUCCAUUUGUUAGAGGGAGGACCCGCAUGAAGACCAAGAUGAACUGUUACAUAUGUGCAG
rnacentral:lncRNA from 1 species